rnacentral:rRNA from 1 species
GUGGGGAAUAUUGGACAAUGGGCGCAAGCCUGAUCCAGCCAUGCCGCGUGUGUGAAGAAGGCCUUAGGGUUGUAAAGCACUUUCAGUGGGGAGGAAGGGUGUUGUGUUAAUAGUACAGCACUUUGACGUUACCCAUAGAAGAAGCACCGGCUAACUCCGUGCCAGCAGCCGCGGUAAUACGGAGGGUGCAAGCGUUAAUCGGAAUUACUGGGCGUAAAGCGCACGCAGGCGGUCUUGCGUGUCAGAUGUGAAAUCUCCGGGCUCAACCCGGAAAGUGCGUCUGAAACUACAGGACUCGAGUCUGGGAGAGGGAAUCGGAAUAUAGGGUGUAGCGGUGAAAUGCGUUGAUAUCCUAUAGAACACCGGAGGCGAAGGCGGAUUCCUUGAACAGCACUGACGCUGAGGCGCGAAAGUCGGGGGAGCAAACAGGAUUAGAAACCCCUGUAGUCC